GACGAACGCUGGCGGCGUGCCUAAUACAUGCAAGUAGAACGCUGAAGCGAGGAGCUUGCUCUUCUUGGAUGAGUUGCGAACGGGUGAGUAACGCGUAGGUAACCUGCCUUGUAGCGGGGGAUAACUAUUGGAAACGAUAGCUAAUACCGCAUAACAAUGGAUGACACAUGUCAUUUAUUUGAAAGGGGCAAUUGCUCCACUACAAGAUGGACCUGCGUUGUAUUAGCUAGUAGGUGAGGUAAUGGCUCACCUAGGCGACGAUACAUAGCCGACCUGAGAGGGUGAUCGGCCACACUGGGACUGAGACACGGCCCAGACUCCUACGGGAGGCAGCAGUAGGGAAUCUUCGGCAAGGGGGGCAACCCUGACCGAGCAACGCCGCGUGAGUGAAGAAGAGUUUCGGAUCGUAAAGCUCUGUUGUAAGUCAAGAACGGGUGUGAGAGUGGAAAGUUCACACUGUGACGGUAGCUUACCAGAAAGGGACGGCUAACUACGUG
rnacentral:rRNA from 1 species